AGAGUUUGAUUCUGGCUCAGGAUGAACGCUGGCGGCGUGCUUAACACAUGCAAGUCGAACGAGGAAUUUUAAAUGAGACUUCGGUGGAUUUUGAAAUUCUUAGUGGCGGACGGGUGAGUAACGCGUAGGCAACCUGCCCUGUACAGGGGGACAACAGCUGGAAACGGCUGCUAAUACCGCAUAAGCGCACAGCAUCGCAUGAUGCCGUGUGAAAAACUCCGGUGGUACAGGAUGGGCCCGCGUUGGAUUAGGUAGUUGGUGGGGUAACGGCCUACCAAGCCGAUGAUCCAUAGCCGACCUGAGAGGGUGAUCGGCCACAUUGGAACUGAGAUACGGUCCAGACUCCUACGGGAGGCAGCAGUGGGGAAUAUUGGGCAAUGGGCGAAAGCCUGACCCAGCAACGCCGCGUGAGGGAAGAAGGGUUUCGGCUCGUAAACCUCUGUCCUAUGGGACGAAGGAAGUGACGGUACCAUAGGAGGAAGCCCCGGCUAACUACGUGCCAGCAGCCGCGGUAAUACGUAGGGGGCGAGCGUUGUCCGGAAUGAUUGGGCGUAAAGGGCGCGUAGGCGGCCUGCUAAGUCUGGAGUGAAAGUCCUGCUUUCAAGGUGGGAAUUGCUUUGGAUACUGGUGGGCUGGAGUGCAGGAGAGGUUAGUGGAAUUCCCAGUGUAGCGGUGAAAUGCGUAGAGAUUGGGAGGAACACCAGUGGCGAAGGCGACUAACUGGACUGUAACUGACGCUGAGGCGCGAAAGUGUGGGGAGCAAACAGGAUUAGAUACCCUGGUAGUCCACACUGUAAACGAUGAAUGCUAGGUGUAGGGGGUAUCGACCCCUUCUGUGCCGCAGUUAACACAAUAAGCAUUCCGCCUGGGGAGUACGGCCGCAAGGUUGAAACUCAAAGGAAUUGACGGGGGCCCGCACAAGCAGCGGAGCAUGUGGUUUAAUUCGACGCAACGCGAAGAACCUUACCAGGUCUUGACAUCCACUUAAACUUACAGAGAUGUAAGGUGUGCUUGCACAAAGUGAGACAGGUGGUGCAUGGUUGUCGUCAGCUCGUGUCGUGAGAUGUUGGGUUAAGUCCCGCAACGAGCGCAACCCUUAUCUUCAGUUACUAACGCGUAAAGGUGAGGACUCUGAAGAGACUGCCGGGGACAACUCGGAGGAAGGUGGGGACGACGUCAAAUCAUCAUGCCCCUUAUGACCUGGGCUACACACGUGCUACAAUGGCCACGACAGAGAGAAGCGAAAUCGCAAGGUAGAGCGGAACUCAAAAAAGUGGUCCCAGUUCGGAUUGUGGGCUGCAACCCGCCCACAUGAAGUCGGAGUUGCUAGUAAUCGCGGAUCAGCAUGCCGCGGUGAAUACGUUCCCGGGCCUUGCACUCACCGCCCGUCA
rnacentral:rRNA from 1 species